rnacentral:rRNA from 1 species
CAUUCGGAGAGUUUGAUCCUGGCUCAGGAUUAACGCUGGCGGCGUGCAUGAGACAUGCAAGUCGAACGGGCGACUCGGGCUUGCUCGAGUCGCUAGUGGCGGACGGCUGAGUAACGCGUAGGUGACUUGCCCCGAAGUGAGGAAUAACUGCCCGAAAGGGUGGCUAAUACCGCAUGUGGUGGUGCGUUCAUUCGCACCAGUAAAGCCGUAAGGCGCUUCGGGAGAGGCCUGCGUCCGAUUAGCUCGUUGGUGGGGUAACGGCUCACCAAGGCGACGAUCGGUAGGUGGUCUGAGAGGACGAUCACCCAGACUGGGACUGAGACACGGCCCAGACUCCUACGGGAGGCAGCAG